rnacentral:snRNA from 1 species
GGUGCCCAACUGCGCGCUA